CCUACGGGAGGCAGCAGUGGGGAAUUUUGGACAAUGGGGGCAACCCUGAUCCAGCCAUGCCGCGUGAGUGAAGAAGGCCUUCGGGUUGUAAAGCUCUUUCGGCCGGGAAGAAAUCGCAUCUUUUAAUAGAGGGUGUGGAUGACGGUACCGGACUAAGAAGCACCGGCUAACUACGUGCCAGCAGCCGCGGUAAUACGUAGGGUGCGAGCGUUAAUCGGAAUUACUGGGCGUAAAGCGUGCGCAGGCGGUUUGCCAAGACAGGCGUGAAAUCCCCGGGCUUAACCUGGGAACUGCGCUUGUGACUGGCAGGCUAGAGUACGGCAGAGGGGGGUGGAAUUCCACGUGUAGCAGUGAAAUGCGUAGAGAUGUGGAGGAACACCGAUGGCGAAGGCAGCCCCCUGGGCCUGUACUGACGCUCAUGCACGAAAGCGUGGGGAGCAAACAGGAUUAGAUACCCUGGUAGUCCACGCCCUAAACGAUGUCGACUAGUCGUUCGGASCAGCAAUGCACUGAGUGACGCAGCUAACGCGGAAGUCGACCGCCU
rnacentral:rRNA from 1 species